rfam:Prochlorococcus marinus MIT9313 complete genome
ACUACGGAGAGUUUGAUCCUGGCUCAGGAUGAACGCUGGCGGCGUGCUUAACACAUGCAAGUCGAACGAACCUUCGGGUUAGUGGCGGACGGGUGAGUAACGCGUGGGAAUCUGCCCUCAGGAGGGGGAUAACGGUUGGAAACGGCCGCUAAUACCCCAUAUGCCGAGAGGUGAAAUGAAUUUCGCCUGAGGAUGAGCCCGCGUCUGAUUAGCUAGUUGGUGAGGUAAUGGCUCACCAAGGCAUCGAUCAGUAGCUGGUCUGAGAGGAUGAUCAGCCACACUGGGACUGAGACACGGCCCAGACUCCUACGGGAGGCAGCAGUGGGGAAUUUUCCGCAAUGGGCGCAAGCCUGACGGAGCAACGCCGCGUGAGGGAUGAAGGCCUCUGGGCUGUAAACCUCUUUUCUCAAGGAAGAAGAUCUGACGGUACUUGAGGAAUAAGCCACGGCUAAUUCCGUGCCAGCAGCCGCGGUAAUACGGGAGUGGCAAGCGUUAUCCGGAAUUAUUGGGCGUAAAGCGUCCGCAGGCGGCUUUUCAAGUCUGCUGUUAAAGCGUGGAGCUUAACUCCAUCAAGGCAGUGGAAACUGAUUGGCUUGAGUGUGGUAGGGGCAGAGGGAAUUCCCGGUGUAGCGGUGAAAUGCGUAGAUAUCGGGAAGAACACCAGUGGCGAAGGCGCUCUGCUGGGCCAUAACUGACGCUCAUGGACGAAAGCCAGGGGAGCGAAAGGGAUUAGAUACCCCUGUAGUCCUGGCCGUAAACGAUGAACACUAGGUGUCGGGGGAAUCGACCCCCUCGGUGUCGUAGCCAACGCGUUAAGUGUUCCGCCUGGGGAGUACGCACGCAAGUGUGAAACUCAAAGGAAUUGACGGGGGCCCGCACAAGCGGUGGAGUAUGUGGUUUAAUUCGAUGCAACGCGAAGAACCUUACCAGGGUUUGACAUCCUGCGAACCUCUAAGAAAUUAGAGGGUGCCUUUGGGAACGCAGUGACAGGUGGUGCAUGGCUGUCGUCAGCUCGUGUCGUGAGAUGUUGGGUUAAGUCCCGCAACGAGCGCAACCCACGUUUUUAGUUGCCAGCAUUCAGUUGGGCACUCUAGAGAGACCGCCGGUGAUAAACCGGAGGAAGGUGUGGAUGACGUCAAGUCAUCAUGCCCCUUACAUCCUGGGCUACACACGUACUACAAUGCUACGGACAAAGGGCAGCGAACUCGCGAGGGCAAGCAAAUCCCAUAAACCGUGGCUCAGUUCAGAUCGUAGGCUGCAACUCGCCUACGUGAAGAAGGAAUCGCUAGUAAUCGCAGGUCAGCAUACUGCGGUGAAUACGUUCCCGGGCCUUGUACACACCGCCCGUCACACCAUGGAAGUUGGCCACGCCCGAAGUCGUUACUCCAACCCUUGUGGAGGAGGACGCCGAAGGUGGGGCUGAUGACUGGGGUGAAGUCGUAACAAGGUAGCCGUACCGGAAGGUGCGGCUGGAUCACCUCCUAA